rnacentral:lncRNA from 1 species
GUAGAGAAAAGCUAAAACUCUUAAUGUAAUGGUUUUUGAAUUUUUUAAAAAUUGGUAAGUCCCGAGUUCGAAUCCUAAUUGAUUCACAUUUUCAGUUAAGUUUAUUUCUAAAUUAAAUAAACGAACCGAAUAGUAUGCUACAUAUCUCUCAAAAAAAAAUUGGUAAGUAUGGAUUUUAUAAAAGAUAAGGUAAACGUUUACAAACUUAUAAAAUAGAGCAGUGCUGCAAUACUCCAUUUU